AAGUCGUAACAAGGUAACCGUAGGUGAACCUGCGGUUGGAUCAUUAGUGGUUUUUACGUAGCGCUGUUGUAGUGUUUCUGGGGGGUUUGCUUUGGUUUUGGGUGUUGUCUUUCUUUUUUGUUUGUCUUUGUCUGUUUUUGUGCGAUGUCUUGUGCAUUGCCUUGUGCGGUGCCUGGCAGUACAAACGAUCGACGGCAACACUCGGACCAGACCCAAGCCCUUGCAGACAAUAGACGUCUUUGCUUGCUUUGAUGAAACCAAAUCAAAAACAACUUUUGACAACGGAUCUCUUGGCUCUC
rnacentral:misc_RNA from 1 species